rnacentral:rRNA from 1 species
GACGAACGCUGGCGGCGUGCUUAACACAUGCAAGUCGAACGGAAAGGCCCUGCUUUUGUGGGGUGCUCGAGUGGCGAACGGGUGAGUAACACGUGAGUAACCUGCCCUUGACUUUGGGAUAACUUCAGGAAACUGGGGCUAAUACCGGAUAGGAGCUCCUGCUGCAUGGUGGGGGUUGGAAAGUUUCGGCGGUUGGGGAUGGACUCGCGGCUUAUCAGCUUGUUGGUGGGGUAGUGGCUUACCAAGGCUUUGACGGGUAGCCGGCCUGAGAGGGUGACCGGCCACACGGGAACUGGGACGCGGUCCAGAGGCCUACGGGAGGCAGCAGUAGGGAAUCUUCCGCAAUGGGCGAGAGCCUGACGGAGCGACGCCGCGUGAGUGACGAAGGUCUUCGGAGCGUAAAACUCUGUUAUUAGGGAAGAACAAAUGGGUAAGUAAAUAUGCACGGCUUGACGGUACCUAAUCAGAAAGCCACGGCUAACUACGUG